rnacentral:rRNA from 1 species
UGGCGAAAGGGCGAGUAAUGCAUUCCUAACGUACCCUUGGGUCGGGAAUAGGCCGGGGAAACCCGGAUUAAUACCCGAUAACCCCGUCUGGUCGCAUGGCCGGACGGGCAAAGGCUUGCUGCCCUUGGCGCGGGGAAUGUCCUAUCAGGUUGUUGGCGGGGUAACGGCUCACCAAGCCAAAGACGGGUAGCGGGUGUGAGAGCACGGCCCGCCGCAUCGGGACUGAGACACUGCCCGGACUCCUACGGGAGGCUGCAGUAACGAAUAUUCCGCAAUGCGCGAAAGCGUGACGGAGCAAUGCCGCGUGCAGGAUGAAGCCCCUCGGGGUGUAAACUGCUGUCAGGAGUCAGCAACCCAAUGAGCAACUCCAGAGGAAGGACCGGCUAACUUCGUGCCAGCAGCCGCGGUAAUACGAAGGGUCCAAGCGUUAAUCGGAAUCACUGGGCUUAAAGGGUGCGUAGGCGGACUGGCCAGUGCCUUGUGAAAUCCCACGGCUCAACCGUGGAAUUGCUCGGCAUACUGCCAGUCUUGAGGUCGGUAGAGGGUGCCGGAACUCUAGGUGGAGCGGUGAAAUGCGUAGAUAUCUAGAGGAACGUCAAAGGCGAAGGCAGGCACCUGGUCCGAUUCUGACGCUGAGGCACGAAAGCGUGGGGAGCGAACGGGAUUAGAUACCCCGGUAGUCCACACCCUAAACUAUGUGCACUAGAUUGUGGGGGUUUUGACGCCCGCACAAUCGAAGCUAAAGUGAUUAGUGCACCGCCUGGGGAGUACGGUCGCAAGGCUAAAACUCAAAGGAAUUGACGGGGGCUCACACAAGCGGUGGAGCAUGUGGCUUAAUUCGAAGCUACGCGAAGAACCUUAUCCAGGGUUUGACAUGUACGGAUUAGCUCGGCGAAAGUCGAGUGACGCUCUUUGGGUGGAACGUACACAGGUGCUGCAUGGCUGUCGUCAGCUCGUGCUGUGAAGUGUCGGGUUAAGUCCCUUAACGAGCGAAA